rnacentral:rRNA from 1 species
AGUGAACGCUGGCGGCAGGCCUAACACAUGCAAGUCGAGCGGCAGCGGGUCCUUCGGGAUGCCGGCGAGCGGCGGACGGGUGAGGAAUACAUCGGAAUCUGCCCUGUCGUGGGGGAUAACCUAGGGAAACUUAGGCUAAUACCGCAUACGACCUACGGGUGAAAGCGGGGGAUCGCAAGACCUCGCGCGACAGGAUGAGCCGAUGUCCGAUUAGCUAGUUGGCGGGGUAAAGGCCCACCAAGGCGACGAUCGGUAGCUGGUCUGAGAGGAUGAUCAGCCACACUGGGACUGAGACACGGCCCAGACUCCUACGGGAGGCAGCAGUGGGGAAUAUUGGACAAUGGGCGCAAGCCUGAUCCAGCCAUGCCGCGUGGGUGAAGAAGGCCUUCGGGUUGUAAAGCCCUUUUGUCCGGGAAGAAAUCGUCUGGGCUAAUACCCCGGGCGGAUGACGGUACCGGAAGAAUAAGCACCGGCUAACUUCG